ensembl:lncRNA
AGGAGAUGGCUGGGAUGAAAUACUGGUAGUGCUGGGACCUGGUGCUGUCAGUACACUUAAUUUUUGUUGAUCUGCACUUUUUUUAACACUUUGAAAUCCUUUCUCCACUUCACUUUUCAACUCUUUGAAACCGUAUUUUGAACAGCUUUGAUGUCCUGCUGAACCUCUGCUUGGAGUUGAUCAACCAUGAAUCGUAGUUCGGACACCAAGGUAGAUUCCACCUUCUGGAGUUCUUCCGUGAUCAUUACCUUCAUCGCUUUAGUCAGCAAGAUCAGCAAUCUGGCUCUGGUGCUGAGAAGAGGUAUCUUUCACUUCCUGGGAGUUGGUAGAAUGUUGGGCAGGUCAUGUUGUGCCACUGACGAAGGAGUUCCACCUUCAGAAGAGGUGCAAAGUUGCAUGUUAUCCACUUGUGUUGCCCAGGUGAGAGUUUGUACUGGAGUGCUCCCAGCCAGAGCAGGAGAGGACAUGUGCACACGGGUUCCAGGAUGAACAGAACUGAGUGGAGUGGGGGUAUGGUAGAACACCGGAGCAUAUGGAGGUUGUUCCAGAGGCAUCCCUGGUCGCAGUGCAGGCGGCCAUACUGGAGUUGAGAUGUCUGGUGGAGGCUCAAUUUCCACAAAAGUAGUUUGGGAAGGAGGGGUAUGCGCCAUGAUUGCUGUGAUUGAGUGUAAGAAUGUUGAGUGUGAAAAACAAUAAAUAUCAGUAAAUGAGAUGUGUAUCAGUGUGUUUGUCCCUGAAAUAUUUCUACUAAACAACAGAAUACAACUUUUCACAACUGUUCAAUCAGUAUUAUCUCACAACCACUAGGUAAAUCAAAACAAUAAGUAUUCAAAGUAAUUCACCUUCACUUAUUUCAAAUAUUCAAACAAUUAUCAAUUACUGUGACACCUUAGAGAUAACACCUCUAAUUGUUCAUUUAGCGUUCACAGUUUAUACAAAAAAAAAAACAAUUUUCACAAGCAUAAACAAUUUACAAGAUUAAUUCAGACAGUUUCAUUGUUUCACUAAUUUUCCAAAAAAGAAAAAAUAUAUAUAUAAAGUUUUCAAAUCAAUGUUUCAGAGGUGCAUUUUUUUUUUUAAAGUGUUCAAUAGUUCACAGGGAUUGUCAAAAUCAAAAAACUCAAGUUUCAAGUGUUAAAGCAGGUUUCAGUUCAGGUCCCUGUUCGGGCGCCACUCUAUAACGGUGGUAGCCGCCCUAACUCAAAUACUAUUUUAAAGAAGAAAAAAAAACCUUCGGGCGCCAGACAGGAUUAAACCUAUCAAAAAUUAACUUAACCCCGGAUAGCAGGAAAAUAACCACCUGUUACACAACAAAUUAUAAUAAUAAUCCCAGACUAAAAGGUCAUCAGGAUAUUUAUUCUUCCAUAUGUUCAAAAUCAUAAUAACACAGAAAACUGAAAUGGACAACAAAAUAAAAAACAAAAAAAAACAAAAUAAGCAAUGACCACACGUUCCCACUAGCGGUCUCUGGUCUUCGAAAUCCGUGCCCGUGCCAGAAACCGACCGCGUCACGC